rnacentral:lncRNA from 1 species
CUCCGCAGGGAAAAGGCGAGGGUGGGGAUGGGCGGACGGGCGGAAGGGAGGGGGCAGGUACUCACCAUGUGGGCUGGGGCUCAGGCUGCCUCCCAGGCACAGCAUCCAUGGCAGGAUACCUCCACUCCCACCUCGCCCAGACCAGCCGAGCCCCCUCCCCUUCCGGAGAGCCUGCUCCAACCCAGAGAGCCAAGAUUUUGACCAUAGAGAAAUCUCUCUUGCUUUUAUCAUCUCUGCAAUUUGUGUACCAAUCAACCUUCCAAAGAAGCAAUCAACUCCUAAACAACCAACUUCUAAAACUAAACGAAAACUGAAACAACCAACCAACUACUAAACCAACUGACUGAGCUAUCUGGGUGGCUUAAACAAGAAACAACUGCAGUUCUGGAGGCUGAGAAGUCCAAGCUCACAUAGAUGUCAGGUGCACUGUCUGGUGAGGGCCUGCUUCCCAGCUCAUGGAUCGCUGAUUUUUCACUGUGUUCUCAUGGCAGAAGUGAAACUGACAGCACUAAUGGCCUGCACUUAGCCAGAACACAGCACUGAACCCACAUGCUGGGAUUCAAACCCAGCCAAAACGCAGAUUGGGGCUUGAACCCACAGUUUUAAAUUAGAAUCACUCACCCUGUGUCUGGACUCACUAAGGUUCAGGUUCUUUAUGCCUCAGCACAGAAGGAAUUCAACAAGAGACAAAGUAAUAGGCAAGAAACAGAUUAGGAUAGGACACUGUGAGAGAAGCAAGUCGGCAGAAAAGGAAGCUCUGCCCAGAGGAUCUGGCGGGCCAUAGUUUUAUCAUCCAAGGGGCGUGGGGGUUGGAAAGGCCCGCCUCUUCCUUUCCGGGAGUAGUAGCUCCUCCUUAGUAUCCAGUAAGGUGUGUAUUCAAAUCAGCUGAAGGGCACUCUUCAAACUCUUGCCCUUGGUCUGAAUUUGAAUGCAGGCCUCAUCCCAUCCCCCACCCAAUGACCUGAGGCAAUUCUCGCACCUCCACUAGUCAACAAGGCUGCCCUGAUGGCUUGCUUUAUUUUUAUUUUUUUUGUCUUUUUGCCUUUUCUAGGGCUGCUUCUGUGGUGUAUGGAGGUUCCCAGUCUAGGGGUCUAAUCAGAGCUGUUGCCGACGGCCUACACCAGAGACAUGGCAACCCGGGAUCCAAGCUGUGUCUGCAAGCUACACCACAACUCACGGCAAUCCCAGAUCCUUAACCCGCUGAGCAAGGCCAAGGAUCGAACCCACAACCUCAUGAUUCCUAAUCAGAUUCGUUAACCACUGCGCCGCAAUGGGAACUCCCCUGAUGGCUUUCUUGAACUUACAGUGGUCUCCCAACAUCCCCCAGGUUUCCCUCUUUAUCUACUGGGCCUUCUACAACCACCUGUGCCUAUUCUCUUCCUAUUAGAAGGGGAGAGGGAUUUUCCUCAAACCUCUUUUAUUUGUUUAUUUGUUUAUUUUUUGUCUUUUAAAGGCCACACCCAUGGCAUGUGGAGAUCACAGCUUAGGGGCUGAAUCUGAGCCGUCUGCAACCUACACUGCAGCUCACCGCAAUGCUGGAUCCUUAACCCACUGAGCCAGGCCAGGGAUCAAACCUGCAUCCCCAUGGAUACUAGUAAGGUUUGCUACCACUGAGCCACAAUGGGAACUCCUAGAGGCCCUUUUUUUUUUUUUUUUUUCUUUUUGCUAUUUCUUUGGGCCGCUCCCAUGGCAUAUGGAGGUUCCCAGGCUAGGGGUCGAGUUGGAGCUGUAGCCCUUGGCCUAUGCCAGAGCCACAGCAACACAGGAUCCGAGCCGUGUCUGCAACCUACACCACAGCUCACGGCAACGCCGGAUCCUUAACCCACUGAGCAAGGGCAGGGACCGAACCCGCAACCUCAUGGUUCCUAGUCGAAUUCGUUAACCACUGCGCCACGACGGGAACUCCUAGAGGCCCUUUUUUAAGUGUGUUAGUCCCAUUUGUGAGGGGUCCACCCUUAUGACCUAAGCAUCUUCCAAAGGCCCCACCUCCAAAUACCAUCACAAUGGGGAUUAGGUUUCAACAUAUGAAUUUUUUGGCGGGGGGUGGGGGACACAGACAUUCAAUGGAUAGCACCAUCCCACAAACAAAAGUUGAAGGAUGCUUCAGUCUGGUAUAGAGACCAAAGCAAAGUGAUGCUGUGCUUCCUAAAGGCCUCAACUCUGUGACAACAGACUCCCAUUCUCUAGGAAAUCAGCUUUCAAUCAUCUCUGCCUAGGAGAGGCUGGGGAAGGGUCACCACUGGAGAUGAAAGGGAUUGGGUGUAGGUCAGGAUGCAGGACUAACAUGUCUCACAGAGAAAUUUUGCUUUUUAUUUUUUCGUCUUUUUGCCUUUUCUAGGGCCGAACCCGCAGCAUAUGGAGGUUCCCAGGCUAGGAGUCUAAUCAGAGCUGUAGCCACUGGCCUACACCUCAGCCACAGCAAUGUGGGAUCCAAGCCUUGCCUUUGAACUGCACCACAGCUCACAGCAGUGCCGGAUCCUUAACCCACUGAGCAAGGCCAGGGAUUGAACCUGCAACCUCAUGGUUCCUAGUUGGAUUUGUUAACCACUGAGCCACAAUGGGAACUCCAUUAUUUUAUUAUUUUAUUUUAUUUUUUGUCUUUUUAGGGCCGCACCUGUGGCUUAUGUAGGUUCCCAAGCCAGGGGUUGAAUCUGAGCUGUAGCUGCCAUGUUACACUACAGCCACAGCAACAGCUUUUACUUACUUUCUUAAACUAUUUGGUCACCCUGAUCAGAGCUGUAGCAACACUGGGUCCUUAACCCACUGUGCUGGGCUGGGGAUGGAACCUGUGUCUCACUGCUAUAAAGAUGCUGCCGAUCAAGUUGCCCCACAGUGGGAACUCCAAUCUUGCUUUUUAAAAAACCAAGAUCUACUGGUUUUUGCCCCCAGUUCAUUCAUGUCUUCCUGUUUAUUUUUUUUUAAUUACUCAAAUGAAUUUAUCACAUCUGUAGUUGUAUAAUGAUCAUAACAAUCUGAUUUCACAGAAUUUCCAUCCCACAGCCCAGGCACAUCCCCCUCAUGUCUUCCUUCUUUCCUUCUUGCCUUCCUUUCUUAUUUUUAAGCAACCCCACUGAAGUAUACUGUGGAUACAAUAAAAUGCACACAAUUUAAGUGUAUGUUUCCUUG